UACGUAGGGGGCAAGCGUUGUCCGGAAUUAUUGGGCGUAAAGAGCGUGUAGGCGGUUCGGUAAGUCAGCUGUGAAAGUCAAGGGCUCAACCCUUGAAAGCCGGUUGAUACUGUCGGGCUAGAGUCCGGAAGAGGCGAGUGGAAUUCCCGGUGUAGCGGUGAAAUGCGCAGAUAUCGGGAGGAACACCAAUGGCGAAGGCAGCUCGCUGGGACGGUACUGACGCUGAGACGCGAAAGCGUGGGGAGCAAACAGG
rnacentral:rRNA from 1 species